CCAGGCCACUGCCAACGCUUGGUCCUCAGUUGCUUGCCAGCUCUCUCUCCUACUUUUGUUUCCCAGGAAGCUGGCUCAGGGUCCAGCACAGCUCUUGACACCGGGGGCCCCUUCUGACUGGGGACGCUGAACCGCCGUGUGGAAGACAUGCCUGGUCCGUUGCUCUCCUACCUUCUCCGGGGCCCGUGGUGACGUUGGCUUCGAUCUCCGGCCCGUAGGUGAAGGUCUUGGCUCUGAUGCGGAACCUGUAGGUCACCCCCUCCGCCAGGUCCUUCACCUUCAGCCACAGGGGGCUGUUCCCCUUCACGUCCACGGUCACGAUCUUGCUGACUCCUGGGGGAGGCACAGCAAGUGGGGACUGGGCACAGGGCCCACCGAGGGCACUGGAGGCCAUGGGGAAGGGGAAGCGGCCGUGGCCUGGGCCCCGGGACCCUGGGUAGGGGCCUCACUCCUUGAGGUCAGGCUGAAAUGCACCCCCAGCCCACACAACCACAUUGCCCAUGCUGUGUUUCUCACAGCACGGUCCUGCCUGCUGUUCUCAGGGAGAACGGCUCCAUGGUUCAGUAUGUUUGGGAAAAGCUACUACUGUCUGUGUCUACUGAGUAGCCACAGGGUCCAUCAUCAGCAUCUACAGAAAAGAGAACACUCGCCAUCCUGUUUAAUGUAACCUCUGCACCCCAAAUAUGUUUCGGCUCCAUUGCUAUUCCCUUAUGCAGCAUCCCAUGGGACUAGAAUUAUAUCCUUUUUCAGGAAGUGCUUCCAUAAAAAUACCAAAAGCCCAGAGUUGCGGGGACACACUUUUGACCAGGUCCUCCACCUGAGCCCCACUCCAGCUCCACCUCUGGGGUUCAGCCAGGAGCUCACAUGGCCCUCCAGCACCUAUAUCUGCCACAAUUUUUUUUUUUUUUUUAAGACAAGGUCUUGCUCUGUUGCUCAGGCACAAUCAUGGCUCACUGUAGCCUCGACCUCCUGGGUUCAAGCCGUCCUGCCACUUUCAGCCUUCCAAGUAGCUAAGACUGUAGGUGUGCACCAUCAUGCCUGGCUAAUUUUUAAAUUUUUGUAGAGACAGGGUCUCAUUAUGUUGCCCAGGCUGGUCGCGAACUCCUGGCCUCAAGUGAUCCUCCCACCUUGGCCUCUCAAAGUGCUGGGAUUAUAGGCAUGAACCACUAUGCCCAGUCCACCAAGCUUUUUAGGGCAAAAGUGAGGAUGCCUCAGCACCCCAAAUCACAGCAACUAGAGGGGACGCUUGAGCCAGCUUUCAGGAGGUGGGGGUUUGCACUCUGUGCUUCGCGAAUCCAAAUACUCCUGACUGCCAGCCUCCCUGGGAGCCGGGGUUAGUGUCAUUUCCCAUGUCCAUCGAGCACGCCA
rnacentral:lncRNA from 10 species